GCUUAGCCCUAAACACAGAUAAUUACAUAAACAAAAUUAUUUGCCAGAGUACUACCAGACA
rnacentral:rRNA from 1 species